rnacentral:rRNA from 1 species
CCUACGGGUGGCAGCAGUAGGGAAUUUUGCGCAAUGGGCGAAAGCCUGACGCAGCAACGCCGCGUGAUCGAGACGCCCUUCGGGGUGUAAAGAUCUGUCAGAGGGGGCGAAACUUGACGGUACCCACAGAGGAAGCACCGGCUAACUCCGUGCCAGCAGCCGCGGGAAUACGGGGGGUGCAAGCGUUGUCCGGAAUCAUUGGGCGUAAAGGGGUCGUAGGCGGCACGUAAAGUCCGGUGUGAAAGGCAGAGGCUCAACUUCUGUACUGCAGUGGAUACUGGCGAGCUAGAAUGCGGUAGAGGUAAAGGGAAUUCCUGGUGUAGCGGUGAAAUGCUUAGAUAUCAGGAGGAACAUCGGUGGCGAAAGCGCUUUACUGGGCCGUAAUUGACGCUGAGGAACGAAAGCCAGGGUAGCAAAUGGGAUUAGAUACCCUUGUAGUC